CCUUAAAGAACCUGCCUUUGCAGUGCUCACACAGAUUGUCUGAUGAAAAUAGAGCAGUAAGUAAUCUCUGCAGGCUUGUAGCUCAGGUGGUUAGAGCGCACCCCUGAUAAGGGUGAGGUCGGUGGUUCAAGUCCACUCAGGCCUACCAAAUUUGCGAAGCAAAUUUGAAGAGGUUGCAAACGAUGGGGCUAUAGCUCAGCCGGGAGUGCGCCUGCUUUGCACGCAGGAGGUCUGCGGUUCGAUCCCGCAUAGCUCCACCAUCUUUACUGCGAACACAAGAAAACUUCAGAGUGAACCUGAAAAGGUGCACUGCGAAGUUUUGCUCUUUAAAAAUCUGGAUCAAGCUGAAAAUUGAAACGACACAUCUUUAAUGGUGUGUUCGAGUCUCUCAAAUUUUCGCAAUCUGAAGACAUCUUCGGGUUGUGA
rnacentral:misc_RNA from 1 species